UGGGGAAUAUUGGACAAUGGGCGAAAGCCUGAUCCAGCCAUGCCGCGUGUGUGAAGAAGGUCUUCGGAUUGUAAAGCACUUUAAGUUGGGAGGAAGGGCAGUAAGCGAAUACCUUGCUGUUUUGACGUUACCGACAGAAUAAGCACCGGCUAACUCUGUGCCAGCAGCCGCGGUAAUACAGAGGGUGCAAGCGUUAAUCGGAAUUACUGGGCGUAAAGCGCGCGUAGGUGGUUCGUUAAGUUGAAUGUGAAAGCCCCGGGCUCAACCUGGGAACUGCAUCCAAAACUGGCGAGCUAGAGUAGGGGAGAGGGUGGUGGAAUUUCCUGUGUAGCGGGGAAAUGCGUAGAUAUAGGAAGGAAAACCAGUGGCGAAGGCGACCACCUGGGCUCAUACUGACACUGAGGUGCGAAAGCGUGGGGAGCAAACAGG
rnacentral:rRNA from 1 species